GAUGAACGCUAGCGGCAGGCUUAAUACAUGCAAGUCGUGGGGCAGCAGGUGUAGCAAUACAUGCUGGCGACCGGCAAACGGGUGCGGAACACGUACGCAACCUUCCUUUAAGUGGGGAAUAGCCCAGAGAAAUUUGGAUUAAUACCCCGUAAUAUUAUGAGAUGGCAUCAUUUUAUAAUUAUAGCUUCGGCGCUUAAAGAUGGGCGUGCGUCUGAUUAGGUAGUUGGCGGGGUAACGGCCCACCAAGCCUACGAUCAGUAACUGGUGUGAGAGCACGACCAGUCACACGGGCACUGAGACACGGGCCCGACUCCUACGGGAGGCAGCAGUAAGGAAUAUUGGUCAAUGGACGAAAGUCUGAACCAGCCAUGCCGCGUGGAGGAUGAAGGCCCUCUGGGUUGUAAACUUCUUUUAUUUGGGAAGAAACCCAUUUUUUCUAAGAUGGUUGACGGUACCAGAUGAAUAAGCACCGGCUAACUCCGUGCCAGCAGCCGCGGUAAUACGGAGGGUGCAAGCGUUAUCCGGAUUCACUGGGUUUAAAGGGUGCGUAGGCGGGCAGGUAAGUCAGGGGUGAAAUCUCCGGGCUCAACCCGGAAACUGCCGUUGAUACUAUUU
rnacentral:rRNA from 1 species